rnacentral:lncRNA from 1 species
GUUGUCUCACUUUUUUCUUUUAAAUUAAGAUCUCAAGAAAAUUAAUGUUAUCGGUGCAGUAAGAUGAUUAUAAAAUUAUUGUCACCAAGAAGCAUGAUUUAUGUAGUUUUUAAUGUUGCAUUCUGCAUGUUGUAACAGGAGAAGCUGAGCAGAGAAGAGAUGUGCAGAAUGAGGAGCACAACAGACAUAUUAAUUAAGAGACCUUAGAGAACAUGGGGAAGGAAAUGAUUAUUCCCAAUUUGAUAUUUUAUGCCAAGUUAGUGUAAACUGGGGAAGCUUUUCUGCAACAUGGAUGACCAGGGAAAUGGGACGGUUUUGCAGAAGAGGUACUCAGAGUUAUUAGCCUCAUACCCCACCCCACAGCUGCAGGGAGGAGUGCCCUCACAGCAAGCUCAAUGACAGGAACCCAUCC